AUGGCGUUCAUCGCUGCACAUUUCAUCCCCUUCGCAUUUAUGCUUGCAGUUAUUUUCAUCCCUAGACUCACAUUGGACAACGGUGUUAUUCUGGCCGUUACGCGCAAUAUCUGUCCACGAAUGGAAGGUUCCAUCGAGUUACAAAUUUUUAAGCAAGAUAUUUUUCUCUUCUUCUUUCAAACGUUUCCAGACAAAAUAUGCAUCAAAACUUGCAACCGCAAAUUAUGCAUGCUUUCAAAUCCCAAAAAAAAUUUCUAGGAUCAAUGAAAUGACUUUCAGGAAGUGCCGGAAUAGCUUGAGAGUAAAUGUACAAAUAGGAACUGUCGUACAACAUAUUUACAUAAUAAGAGAGCAGUAAAAAAUUGCUUGUCAUUUUUAGCUUUGAAAGGGUGAUGUAAUUGAUAUGACAUUUUUUCCGGAGUUGCAUUUAAACAGUAUUACGUUCAAUGAUAUUAGUGAAAAAUGUUAUCAUGCUGCGUGGAACACCGAUUUCCCCAAAAUCGUAGGGUAAUUUCGUCGUAUUCCUAAAAAAAAGUUGGAAUAGCAAGGAAAUUUCAAAUUUAAAACCGGUUGGUACAGUGUUUCAUUUUUAUUACUAAACAACAACAGACCUUACUACUUUUACAGAGGUUUCUUUUUCCCCUUCAUUUUUGAUCUCAAAACAUUGACCGCAAGUGUUAAAUCAUUUUGUUGACGCACAGACGCGUAAAAUAAUGCCUAUUCUAGUACAUUUUCAGAAGUAGCACUCACGUAUUUUAUUUCACGAAUUGAAAAGAAGAAAAAUAAUCAUUUGAAAGAGUAAACAUUGAACACUGAGAGUGCAUUUGUUCAUGGUCGUGUUUUAUACUCUGUUAUUUAUAUGGUAAAAUGAGUAAUAUCACACAAACAGCAAGAGAAAUUAUUUUGGCAAGGUUAAUACUUACACUUUUUUUGCUCAGAGAGGACGGGGAAAGACCCCAGAUUACAUUAUUUUGGGAGAGAAUUUGGAAAGCUUUGUCAAACCUAGCGGGUGACUGUCAUAUGCAGUAGCUAUUCUUGCAAGCCAAAACACACUUUUUCCCAUCGAAAUCUAUUGAAAUAAUCGAAUGUAGGUGAGGCAAUUUGCCGCGAGACACGUAGAUUGUUUUCUAUACAUUUAAAUGAACGAAACUAAAUGUAAUCAACUUGAAAUAAUUGUCUCCACUGUUUAGCCGUACCUCGUGAUUCUGAAGAAAACUCUACGUCGGAGUUUGAUCAAGCAUUCCAAGAACGAGUGUUGCUAUUUAUUUCGUCAAAUAAGACCAGCCACAUCUUAAAUCUAUGGAUUGAUUUAGAAUCUCCCUUAAAGAGCAGCCAGUGGGAGAGGCUCUUCAACAUGUAGUGCCCAGAGAAAGUCAUGGAAUUCUCAUUAUAGCAUUGGUUAAAAAUGUGCAGUUUUUAAACAUAAAUAAAUAAAAGAAGAAUAAAACAAGACAAUUUAACUAGUCAUUGGAAUGUUGCAAAAAAUUCGCCCUAAUUCUGAAAACUAGUUUCACAACAGGAUUUAUGUACAAAAUUAUAAUUUGUUAACUUUAAGUAGAUAUGGUAAGAAUUUAUUCCAAGAAUCGCCAGAAUAGAUAGCUCUCCUUUAAAGAGGUUUUUACUGAAAGAAAAAAUAUCUCGAGCAAUUUAUCCAUCGAUAACUAUACGUAAAGAAAAUCUUUCAAAUCCUGAACCAAACAUCUCAAUGGUUUAAGUCGAAAACAAGUAACUACCAUUUCCAUUGCAACGUCCCUAACUUUUUGGAUUUUCCUUCGUUUAUAGUCGCAAUUUUAUGAUACUAAUACUUAGAGGAAAUUUCGAAGGUUAAUGAUUUUUCUAUUAAUUUCUAAAAAUAAUUUAAUAAAAAAAAAUUAACGCGGGUAUUCGAACGUUGGAAAUAGAGUUACUCGUUUUUUGACUAAAAAUGCUAACCCGGAGACUGGCAACCCAUGGAACUUCGUCCCCGUAUGUUUACAUAAGCUCUUACCAUCAAGAGUCCAAAUGUUGAGAACCUUUGACAAACAUUGAAUGCAAGAAUGGCACCAAAAUUCUGGCAACUUAAACAUGUACAGUUUGGCAUGAUAAUUUCACAAAAAAUAUCUAGAAUAGAAGUAUACACACAGGAAAAUGAAAGAAAUAAAGAACAAAAAACCCAACAAUUCUUAGAACAACAAAUCGAAAUAUAGUUCCACUGGAAAGCUUGAUUUGUUUCAACACCUAUGAAUAGUCUCAAAGGACUACAUCCUUCAGAAACCAAGAUCCUAUUCAUAGAUCGUAGUCAUUGAAGGCUCACUGAGUGCAAAUUUCAAGUAAAUAAAUGUGAAACAAGUAUCGCAGCUUUGAUUUACUGGGCGUGCAAACGCUCACUUUUUUGAAGACUUGCCACUGAGAUGAGAAGCGACCGGGCACAUUUACUAAUAUAUUGAAAAUAAAGUUUUGAUUAGUUUCAAUAGUAGCUUAUUCAUAUUAUAUAAAAUUGACUAGACUCAAAAAUUCGAAGAGAUAAAUAAAUUAGAUUUGUGUAAAAAUUAGAAAACGUUCACUCUAACGCGUUGUUAAAAAAUUUCCAAACUCAACAGGUAUUGCUUGAGGGGUUGAAUUUGUCAAUACUGUUAGUUUCCUCCAAAUGCGCCUCAUUUUAUGAUGGAUCUAGCUUUUCUACACUUAUUUUGAAGUGACAUCAUCUCUCACGAGACAUUUUACCGUCGAAGAAUACAGCUUUUUAUUACAGGUAACUUUUUAGCAUGCUGUGGUGGUAGUAGAAUGAAAACAUGAAGCUUACAUAUUUUGCAACAUCUUGAAAUUUUAACUCUAAAUCGGAGCAACAUUAAGCCAAAAGUAUAUUCAAAAAAUUUAGGUGGUAAAGAAGCGUCCACGGUAAGAUGUCAUGCAUGGUGACGUGUCACACAAUGAAAUGUUUGUACGGUUCUAUUGAUCCUUGAAGAUGAAUGAAACAGUUUUUGGCGCGAAAAAUUACAUUUUCAAAUCUUCAGCCGUGUCUAGUUCUGACAAGAAAUAUCUAAAAGCUUAAUAGACAUUUAUUUUGAGAUCAAUACAAUACACAUGCAUAGAAGUUGCAAUAUUAGAACGGCUCCCUCACACCAAAGGGCUGCCAAAUCAUGCGAUGUUAUCUUCAUACGUUUCAUUUUGUCGGGAAAAAUAGAGAAAAUUAUUCCCGUAAAUUGGCAACCAGCAUAAAUACCCACGCGGCGUUACGACCAAUGCGCGAUCAUAACAUCAUCCAUGCCUUCCUCUCUUACACGCAAAUGAUAAAUAAAUUUACCACCAAAAGAAAAGUGUCGAUCUCAAAAAAAAAAAAAAAAUCAUAGCGAACUUUGCUAUAAAACUGGUGACCUCAACAGUUUACAUGGUAAAUUCACUAAAUUAUAACUUGCUAAACUCACCAGUUUUAAAGGUAAGUCAUAAUUGUUAGUUGCAAGAAACGCCUACGGUCAGAUCAUAGAUUAUACCUGUAUUUCGUGUGCAGAGAGAGGAAAUAAACCAAAACUGAGAAGAUAGAAAAGCAAGGAAGUAAAAAUUGAUGAGAAUACACAUUCUUCAACUUUUGAGUGGACAGCACUUAGCGGAAGGAUGGCGUGAUUUGGGGAUAUGAUAAUUCGAAUAAGGGGCAAAUUGAAUAAGUAGAGGAAUUGUUUUGGUCUUUCUUUUUAACGCAAGUUUUGUAACGAUCGAUGCACCAAGAGAAGAUGUAAGGGAAUGUAUCGCUGAAUGAUUGAAUCACAGCAUUCUGGUUGAAUAUAAUAGAGGAAGAGGCAAUCAGUGGCGUGGCGAACUUUGCGAUAUACCGAUUGAUCUGCCAUUUAAUCCCAUAGAAAAUUAUCGAUGAUCAGGAUAUUCGCAGCGAGCACCUUGAUAAUAGAUCCUUCACCAUAGCUUCAAAUGGGGAAAUAUCGAUAAUCGAUCAUUCACGCCUUGCUACUGGAGGCGAUCUUUUAAAUAAUUCAAAUUGAGGAAGGCUGCUGCUCCUUUGAACCCCAUAUCCAAGUGUAACUCCUGAUAGGUUUGAUGAGAAAACCCCUAAAUCACGCCAUUUAGACAAAAGGUCGGUUUCGAUGCAUUGUAGGAGCAUGGGCGGCGAAGAGAGAGCCUUGCCGGGAGGAAAGGUAGUACGUUGGGGGCUAACGCCACGCAGGGGCAGGCGCGGGGCAAGUGGAGGGUCGUACGAGAUCAUUUCAACUAGCUGCGGUCCUGCAGUCGAG
rnacentral:lncRNA from 1 species